AUUGAACGCUGGCGGCAGGCCUAACACAUGCAAGUCGAGCGAGCGGCGGACGGGUGAGUAAUGUAUGGGGAUCUGCCCGAUAGAGGGGGAUAACUACUGGAAACGGUGGCUAAUACCGCAUACUAUCGGAUGAACCCAGAUGGGAUUAGCUAGUAGGUGGGGUAAAGGCUCACCUAGGCGACGAUCCCUAGCUGGUCUGAGAGGAUGACCAGCCAUACUGAGACGUGGACACGGCCCAGACGCCUACGGGAGGCAGCAGUGGGGAAUAUUGCACAAUGGGCGCAAGCCUGAUGCAGCCAUGCCGCGUGUAUGAAGAAGGCCUUCGGGUUGUAAAGUACUUUCAGCGGGGAGGCGUUACCCGCAGAAGAAGCACCGGCUAACUCCGUGCCAGCAGCCGCGGUAAUAC
rnacentral:rRNA from 1 species